CAUCUAAAGCAGUGAUCUCCUCUCCCUGUGGCUCUGUUACAUCAUCCCGUGUUCUGGUUUCCGCACACUUAAAACCAUCUGGAAUUAUGCUCGUUCAUUCAUUGACUUGUUCAUCACUCAUUUCUCUCCAUUAUUAGGUCAUGAGCUCCAUGAAUACAGGAACACGUCCUGUGGGCUCCUGCAUCCCCAGCAUCCCCUCCAAGAGAAUCUCCAUGAUAUCUGUUAAGUGGAAAAGUGGUGAACAGAUGGAGAGACCCAGGGACGGAUGGUGGGUGCAUGAUGAGAAUACCCAAGAUGAGGAGAUGACAGGUGGGAAGACGGAGGCAAGAAGAAUGGAUGCAUGGACAGAUGAAGAGCUUACGUUUGUUUCUGGGGUGGCUGGAGGCAGCCUGUCGAAGCGGAAGGAGCCCUAGAUUUGGAAUCAGAAGAUUUGUGAGCAACUCAGCUGCUGAGUAUUGUGAAGACCCAGAGCACACCGUUUGCUUUUCUAAGUCUUCUUGUCUAUAAAACAGGGGUAACGUCAGCCUCCCAGUCUAUGGUGAAGACUCCAUGGGAAACAAAGUCCUCCGUAUGAAUGUCUGGGCACGCACAAGUGCACAGUCAAUGACCACUUCCUCCUCUCCACAGGGAUUAAGAAUGUCAUUGACAUGCCUUACUUCAUGCGCUUAUUAUGACCUUACAUUCAUGCAGUAGGUGCCUGAUGAGUUUAUUGACAUUAAUUGAAGGAAUCCCCCUUCAAUUGUGACUGGGAGGUCAUAAGCAGUAGUAAGAGAGAUGGACACGUAUUUUUUUCUACAAAAAUAAAAUUCUUUUAAGAGUUAAUCCACACAAGGGCAUAUCUAGGAGCCAGCUGAUUUACUUAAAUAGGGUUGCAUUUUCUUAAAAUGAAUUUGCAUGCCGCACAUACUGGGAGGCCCUUCAUGUGCAAGACAAGGUCCCUUCCUCUCGAAAUCCACUUGUAGUCAGGGUGGUCGUGUGUGUGUGUGUGUGUGUGUGUGUGUGUGUGUGUGUGUGUGUGUGUGUUUCUCCACAGCCUGGCUCUGGAUGAGGCCUUACUGGAAAUGACCUGGAGCCUUUGAUGAGAGGCUCAAGCCUCCAGCUACCUCCCAGGUCAGACUCUAGGCCCCAGGAACCCCUUGACCUGGGCCUGCCCUCAAGGAAUGAUUCAUAAUUAAGAGGAAAACCUCGCUCUUUGGUGUCUUCCUCCUCCUCGGAGCAGGCGGCAGGGGAAG
rnacentral:lncRNA from 1 species